rnacentral:rRNA from 1 species
AUUGAACGCUGGCGGCAGGCCUAACACAUGCAAGUCGAGCGGAUGAAGGGAGCUUGCUCCUGGAUUCAGCGGCGGACGGGUGAGUAAUGCCUAGGAAUCUGCCUGGUAGUGGGAGAUAACGUCCGGAAACGGGCGCUAAUACCGCAUACGUCCUGAGGGAGAAAGUGGGGGAUCUUCGGACCUCACGCUAUCAGAUGAGCCUAGGUCGGAUUAGCUAGUUGGUGGGGUAAAGGCCUACCAAGGCGACGAUCCGUAACUGGUCUGAGAGGAUGAUCAGUCACACUGGAACUGAGACACGGUCCAGACUCCUACGGGAGGCAGCAGUGGGGAAUAUUGGACAAUGGGCGAAAGCCUGAUCCAGCCAUGCCGCGUGUGUGAAGAAGGUCUUCGGAUUGUAAAGCACUUUAAGUUGGGAGGAAGGGCAGUAAGUUAAUACCUUGCUGUUUUGGCGUUACCAACAGAAUAAGCACCGGCUAACUUCGUG